GAUGAACGCUGGCGGCGUGCCUAAUACAUGCAAGUCGAGCGAACGGACGAGAAGCUUGCUUCUCUGAUGUUAGCGGCGGACGGGUGAGUAACACGUGGAUAACCGACCUAUAAGACUGGGAUAACUUCGGGAAAACGGAGCUAAUACCGGAUGAUAUUUUGCACCGCAUGGUUCAAAAGUGAAAGACGGUCUUGCUGUCACUUAUAGAUAGAUCCGCGCUGCAUUAGCUAGUUGGUAAGGUAACGGCUUACCAAGGCAAAGAUGCUUAGCGGACCUGAGAGGGUGAACGGCUACACGGGAAGUGAGACACGGCCCCGACUCUGAAGGGGGGAAGCAGUAGGGAAUCUUACGCGAUGGACGAAAGGCGAACGUAGCAACACCGCGUGAGUGAUGAAGGUCUUCGGAUCGUAAAACUCUGUUAUUAGGGAAAACCAAAUGUUUAAGUAACUGUGCACAUCUUGACGGUACCUAAUCAGAAAGCCACGGCUAACUACGUG
rnacentral:rRNA from 1 species